UUUUAUCAAAAACAUCGCCUCCAGACCUAAUUAUUGGAGGUCCAUUCUGCCCUAUGCCCUACGGGGUAAAUGGCCGCGGUAGCCUGACCGUGCUAAGGUAGCAUAAUCAUUUGCCGUUUAAUUGAUGGCUAGAAUGAAUGAAUAUACGAGAGCUAGACUGUCUCAUUUUUACAAGUAAAAAUUGACCCUCAAGUGAAGAGACUUGAAUCUACAAAAAAGACGAAAAGACCCUAUAGAGCUUUACCUAAAAUUUAUAUCUUAUAAAUUAAAGGUUUAGUUGGGGCAACUAGAGAAAACCUAAAACCUCUCUUUUAUUUUAUUAAGAUCCGCUAUUGCGAUAAGUAGAAAAAGCUACCUUAGGGAUAACAGGCUAAUCCUCUUUAAGAGACCAUAUUGACAAGAGGGAUUGGCACCUCGAUGUUGGCUCAAGGUUACAGUCUAAUGCAGCAGUUAGACAAAGUAGGUUUGUUCACCCUUUGAAUCCUUACGUGAUCUGAGUUCCAAAACCGGA
rnacentral:rRNA from 1 species